ensembl:rRNA 5S_rRNA 5S ribosomal RNA
GCUUACGGCACCCUACCAGCCCCAGAACGCCCGGUCUCGUCUGAUCUCGGAAGCUAAGAAGGCUUGGGCCUGGUUAGUACUUGGAUGGAGACCCUCCUGGGAUAGCCAGGUUCUGUAAGCU